rnacentral:rRNA from 1 species
UAGGGAAUCUUCCGCAAUGGGCGAAAGCCUGACGGAGCAACGCCGCGUGAGUGAUGAAGGUCUUCGGAUCGUAAAACUCUGUUAUUAGGGAAGAACAAAUGUGUAAGUAACUAUGCACGUCUUGACGGUACCUAAUCAGAAAGCCACGGCUAACUACGUGCCAGCAGCCGCGGUAAUACGUAGGUGGCAAGCGUAUCCGGAAUUAUUGGGCGUAAAGCGCGCGUAGGCGGUUUUUUAAGUCUGAUGUGAAAGCCCACGGCUCAACCGUGGAAGGUCAUUGGAAACUGGAAAACUUGAGUGCAGAAGAGGAAAGUGGAAUUCCAUGUGUAGCGGUGAAAUGCGCAGAGAUAUGGAGGAACACCAGUGGCGAAGGCGACUUUCUGGUCUGUAACUGACGCUGAUGUGCGAAAGCGUGGGGAUCAAACAGG